rnacentral:rRNA from 1 species
CAGUAGCCGCGGUAAUACCGAGGGUGCAAGCGUUAAUCGGAAUUACUGGGCGUAAAGCGCGCGUAGGUGGUUUGUUAAGUUGGAUGUGAAAUCCCCGGGCUCAACCUGGGAACUGCAUCCAAAACUGGCAAGCUAGAGUAUGGUAGAGGGUGGUGGAAUUUCCUGUGUAGCGGUGAAAUGCGUAGAUAUAGGAAGGAACACCAGUGGCGAAGGCGACCACCUGGACUGAUACUGACACUGAGGUGCGAAAGCGUUGGGAGCAAACAGGAUUAGAUACCCUGGUAGUCCCUGUCUCUUAUAC